UUCAAAUCGAACGUAACUCAUAUUUACAUUAAAAACUAUAAAUUGACUAACUGUCUGUUUGCGAAUUAUGGACUAACUUUCAGCGUGGAUAAUGUAGAAAUUGAGCUUAAGAAUUAAUUAUACACGUGCUGUGGAGAUGGCGUCACAUGGAGUACAAUUGUGACGUUGCGAGCAUUAGUCGCGGCGCUCGAGUUGGUUCUUCUUCUCAGCUUUCCUUUCUUUCCCUCCCUUGAUGUCAUGGCGUUCUGCGUGUGGACCUCGUGAAGCCUCCGCGAUAGAUAAUAAGUUAAGAACGCUCAUCGUAAUAUUCAAGGAAACGAAAAUGCGGACGUGUUAGUUAAGAGGGCCGUCUCUGAAGCGCCAUCUAUUGAUAGCUGCAAGGCUGCGAAUGUAUGUAAAAUGGCUGCAUUCUAACUGUGGGCCAAUAAACUAAAUUAUCUAUCUA